rnacentral:rRNA from 1 species
AACGAACGCUGGCGGCAUGCCUAAAACAUGCAAGUCGAACGAGAUCUUCGGGUCUAGUGGCGCACGGGUGCGUAACGCGUGGGAAUCUGCCCUUUGGUUCGGAAUAACAAUUGGAAACGACUGCUAAUACCGGAUGAUGACGAAAGUCCAAAGAUUUAUCGCCAGAGGAUGAGCCCGCGUAGGAUUAGCUAGUUGGUGUGGUAAAGGCGCACCAAGGCGACGAUCCUUAGCUGGCCUGAGAGGAUGAUCAGCCACACUGGGACUGAGACACGGCCCAGACUCCUACGGGAGGCAGCAGUGGGGAAUAUUGGACAAUGGGCGAAAGCCUGAUCCAGCAAUGCCGCGUGAGUGAUGAAGGCCUUAGGGUUGUAAAGCUCUUUUACCCGGGAUGAUAAUGACAGUACCGGGAGAAUAAGCUCCGGCUAACUCCGUGCCAGCCGCCGCCGUAAGAC